CAGAUAACAGUAUGCCAAGUGGAGACAAGAAAGAAAAGAUCAAGAGGAGGAACUGGAAAAUGAGAUAAGGAAAGCAAGAGAAUUGCGGAUAUCUGAGGAACCACAAUUAGGUCGGCAAAUAAAGGUGACAGACCUAGAGGGAAAACAAUGGAUGCGAAAAUUCAAGGAAACAGCAUGCUUCCAAGAAGUGUAUGACUGGUUGGGAAGUUCCAAAACAAUUCCAUUGUAUUUCAACCUUCAAAGGGGCAACAAUGUCCUUAAGCACUGUGACCAGCUGCAGGGUGAUGAGGUUCUU